GCGGUAAGGCCCUUCGGGGUACACGAGCGGCGAACGGGUGAGUAACACGUGGGUGAUCUGCCCUGCACUUCGGGAUAAGCCUGGGAAACUGGGUCUAAUACCGGAUAUGACCUCCGAUCGCAUGGUUGGUGGUGGAAAGAUUUAUCGGUGCAGGAUGGGCCCGCGGCCUAUCAGCUUGUUGGUGGGGUAAUGGCCUACCAAGGCGACGACGGGUAGCCGACCUGAGAGGGUGACCGGCCACACUGGGACUGAGACACGGCCCAGACUCCUACGGGAGGCAGCAGUGGGGAAUAUUGCACAAUGGGCGAAAGCCUGAUGCAGCGACGCCGCGUGAGGGACGACGGCCUUCGGGUUGUAAACCUCUUUCAGCAGGGACGAAGCGCAAGUGACGGUACCUGCAGAAGAAGCACCGGCUAACUACGUGCCAGCAGCCGCGGUAAUACGUAGGGUGCAAGCGUUGUCCGGAAUUACUGGGCGUAAAGAGUUCGUAGGCGGUUUGUCACGUCGUUUGUGAAAACUCACAGCUCAACUGUGAGCCUGCAGGCGAUACGGGCAGACUUGAGUACUGCAGGGGAGACUGGAAUUCCUGGUGUAGCGGUGAAAUGCGCAGAUAUCAGGAGGAACACCGGUGGCGAAGGCGGGUCUCUGGGCAGUAACUGACGCUGAGGAACGAAAGCGUGGGUAGCGAACAGGAUUAGAUACCCU
rnacentral:rRNA from 1 species